CAGAAAAGAAGCCCCUCCUUUCUAUUCGCCGCGCGCGCGCCGUCUCGCGAUCCGCCGGUCUCCUUCCGCCGCAAGCUUUUGCCCCAUCCCCAUUCCCACCGCCGCCUCUUCCGCCUCCGCCGGCAAAAUGCCGGUCUACCGCAUCCGCGGCGUCGACGUCGACUUCCCCUUCGACGCCUACGACUGCCAGAUCACCUACAUGGACCGCGUCAUCGAGUCCCUGCAACAGGGAAAGAACGCGCUGCUAGAGAGUCCUACGGGGACGGGGAAGACACUGUGCCUGCUGUGUGCGUCGCUCGCGUGGCGCCGCACCUUCGGCGAGUUCCUGCGGGUCGGGCGCGGGGGCGGCGGCGGCGGGACUCAGCAGUUGCCCUACGGGAGCCAGCCGUCCGUUAGCCAGCAGUCAGAGGAUUCCACGUCUCAGCAGCAGCAGUCGCGGUACCCAGUCAUCAUCUACGCCUCACGGACCCACAGCCAGCUUCGGCAGGUUAUCAAGGAGCUCAAGGCCACCAGCUACAGGCCGAAGAUGGCUGUGCUGGGUUCCCGUGAACAGAUGUGCAUCCACAACGAAGUGAGCAAACUCCGCGGAAGAGCACAGAACAAUGCCUGCCACUUCCUCUGCAAGAAACGACGGUGCCCUCAUAAUAACCAUGUUUCUGAGUUCAUGAAAAACAAACCUGAGCUUGGGAAUGAGCCUUUUGACAUAGAAGAUUUGAUUAAUAUUGGGCGGCGUAAGGGCCCGUGCCCAUAUUACAUCUCCCGGGAACUUUCAAAGUCGGUUGAUAUCUUGUUUGCUCCUUACAACUAUCUUAUUGACCCGGGAAACCGUCGUUCCUUGAAUGGCAUACCAUGGGACAAUGCAGUUCUUAUAUUUGACGAAGCACACAACUUGGAGAGUAUAUGUGCAGAUGCAGCCUCUUUUGAUUUAUUUCCGAAUAACCUCACAGCUUGUAUAGCGGAAGCUCAUGAAUGCAUCAAACUGUGUGCAGCAAAGAGGUCCAUCGAAAAAUCUGCUGAUAAACAAUUUGAUCCUGAAAAUUAUGCAAUACUCAAAGCUCUCUUAAUGGCACUUGAGAAAAAAAUUGGUGAGCUGUUAAUUGCAUCCAAGGAGUUGGGCUACACAAAAGCUGGGAGUUACAUAUAUGAUUUUCUUUCUGAACUGAACAUUACAUCAGACACAUCCAAAAAACUGAUUGAGACAAUUGAUGGUGCUUCUCUGCUACUAGAGGAAGGAAAUUCUGCUGAAACUGGGCGAGGGGUCCAGGCAAAGGCCACAGUGUCUAGAUUGGAGUCAAUUAGGGACAUGUUAGACAUAAUUUUUAGGGGUGGUGGUCAAAACCAUGCAAAAUAUUAUCGAUUUCAUGUGAACGAAUCUCAACAAACAUCUGGAGAUGCAUUGAAAGUUCUGGGUAAGUCUUCAAGGACCCUUAGUUGGUGGUGUUUCAACCCGGGGCUGGCAAUGGAAGAAUUUCUCAAGUUGGGUGUGCGCUCCAUUAUAUUAACCUCAGGCACCUUGUCUCCCUUGGAUUCACUAGCCAUGGAACUAAACCUUGAAUUCCCAGUUAGACUAGAAAAUCCGCAUGUCAUUUCCUCAGACCAAAUCUGGGUUGGAGUUGUGCCUGUCGGCCCUUCUGGACAUGCUCUUAAUUCUUCUUAUCGCAUGCGUAAUACUAUACAGUAUAAACAAGAGUUGGGCACUGCAAUAGUAAACUUCGCACGCAUUGUGCCAGAUGGACUCCUUGUUUUCUUUCCUUCAUAUUCUAUGAUGGAUAUGUGUGUUGAAUUCUGGAAAAAUAGGAACCAUUCAAAUUCAGCGUCUGAGAACACAAUUUGGCAGCGGAUCUGUAAGCACAAGCAGCCAGUUAUAGAGCCUAGGCAGUCAUCAAACUUUCAAAGUGCAAUUGAGGAUUAUAGAGCCAAAUUACAUGAUUCUUCUUCUGGGGCAAUAUUUUUUGCAGUGUGUCGUGGCAAAGUUAGUGAGGGUCUUGAUUUUGCUGAUCGUGCUGGGAGGGCAGUGAUAGUUACGGGAAUGCCCUUUGCUACUCCAACUGAUGCCAAGGUUCGGCUCAAGCGUGAGUAUUUGGAUAAGCAGGGGACACCAUCUAAUAAAAACACAAAGACAUUGACAGGAGAAGAAUGGUAUGUGCAACAAGCAGCAAGAGCUGUCAAUCAGGCUGUUGGACGUGUUAUCAGACAUCGCCAUGACUAUGGAGCUAUUCUUUAUUGUGAUGAAAGGUUUGCGUGGCCAAAUUAUCAAUCUCAGAUGUCAUAUUGGCUUCGACCUCAUAUAAAGUGCUACUCAAAGUAUGGGGAAGUAGUCCAAGGAUUGACCCGUUUUUUUCGAGAUAAAGCUUCUUCAGAUCCUUUGUCGCUAGAGCCAACAGAUUGUAAUAAUUGUACAGCACCAGUAGCAAGCAAACACAUCCCUGAAGACAAGCUAUCAGAUUUGGCUGCCAGUGCACAAGAUGAAUGCCCGCAAAUCACAUCAUCAGGAAAUUCAACCAUGAGAAGAAGUAACUUCAUGAAGUUGGCUCAGAUCACUCCUGCUAAUCGUUCAACCCUUACUACAAAGCACAACUUUACAUCUACAUCUACGAAGCACAACUUCUCAGAAGACCAACUGUCACAGGAUAACAAGGUUGCUGAUAUGACUGAUGACUUGGCAAUACAAGGGCAUCUGAAGGAACAUACCUUCAAGUCUUUAGGGCUUAAGAAAGCUAAAACAACAGACAGAUCCAAAGAUGUUGGCUCGGAUGACGUCUCUUCAAAAUUGCCUCAAAAUGUAGGGUCAAGAGCUUUGUCCAGAUACCAAUGUGAAGGAUCUACACCUGAACCAAAGAAAAGCACUACAGCAACAGCAUGCGGAAAGAAUGAGGCAACCUGUGAAAAAUCUGAAGGCCAGGAAUCUAACUCAGGGCUAGCGUUCCUGAAGCUGGCUCAUGAAAAGCUUAGUACCGCAGAGUACAAAGAGUUUGUUGAAUAUAUGAAGGCCCUAAAAUCGAAAACUAUGGAUACCAAGGUCUCACUUGAAGCAAUAACAAAGCUUUUUUCGUCCCCAGGAAAAUUUCCACUUCUUGAAGGGUUCAGGGUUUUUGUUCCAAAGAACUAUCUUCCAUUAUAUGAGCAGCUUGUUCGAAGAUAGUGUUUGUAGUACAUGACAACCACUUCUGCUAUGUUCGCAGGACACUAUCAGAUUCUUGAGGUGCAUGCAUUUACUUUUGGAAUGUCAUAUGGCGCUUCUGGAAUCUGAGGAAAAGAAAUGGACAUGACAAAACUCCAUUUAAGAUGAAGUUCUGAAACUUGAACGGUGAAAUGCAGCAUGCUGCUUGUUGUUUCGGAUAUACUCUGGAAGCCAAAAACAAAACACUCUGAAUGGAUGCCAUUAAGUAGAACCAUGGGAGACAUCAAAGAUAAAUGUAGAGUUUUAAAAUUUGGGACACCAUAGUUGUCUAUGUGACUGAUUAAGCUGAUAGUUUGGUGUACUAUCCUAUGGUUUACCACAAUCAGUAUCUUAGUUGUGGGUAGUGUGAAUAAACGAAUAAUAGAAUGAAAAUAGUACUCCAUCCAGAAAGCUAUGUAUCUAGAAAAGUCAAAGUAAUUUACAAUUUGAAACAGGGGGAGUAACUUUUACUAUGGGAAAAUGGAGUCUAUCCUAAGCUCCAAGAGCAACUCCAAGAGAAGGGCUAAAUGAUUUUGUAAAUGUAAAUAUACUCCAGCCAGCAGAUUGCCUAUCCCCUUCUCUAAAAAUAGCCACAGGCUAUUCCUGAUUUUUCGACUUGCCAAAGAAAGAUAGCGGUCUCCCUGUCGUGGCGCUGUUCUGCAGGAAUUGGAGGCUGGCUCCCUGUCGUGGCGCUCGGUGAGCCUCAGAGAAGCUUUAAAGUGAUGUUGCUUCUGUUUAAUCCAGGUCUGAUGACGUGGAGACAAGUUUUUUUUUUUAAAAAAAAUAGAAAGUCAGUUUGGAGAAGCUGCUGCGGAACUUUUCGAUUUAGAAAGGCUAUAUUGUUUUAGAGAGCCAAUUUAUCAAAUCCAAAUUUACUUAGGCUCUUGCUGAUGCUAAUAAAAAUUCCUAACUGCCAA